rnacentral:rRNA from 1 species
CUGGNUCAGAUUGAACGCUGGCGGCAGCCNAACACAUGCAAGUCGAGCGGUAGAGAGAAGCUUGUUUUUCUUGAGAGCGGCGGACGGGUGAGUAAUGCNUAGGAAUCUGCCUGGUAGUGGGGGAUAACGNUCGGAAACGGACGCUAAUACCGCAUACGUCCUACGGGAGAAAGCAGGGGACCUUCGGGCCUUGCGCUAUCAGAUGAGCCUAGGUCGGAUUAGCUAGUUGGUGAGGUAAUGGCUCACCAAGGCGACGAUCCGUAACUGGUCUGAGAGGAUGAUCAGUCACACUGGAACUGAGACACGGUCCAGACUCCUACGGGAGGCAGCAGUGGGGAAUAUUGGACAAUGGGCGAAAGCCUGAUCCAGCCAUGCCGCGUGUGUGAAGAAGGUCUUCGGAUUGUAAAGCACUUUAAGUUGGGAGGAAGGGCAGUAAAUUAAUACUUUGCUGUUUUGACGUUACCGACAGAAUAAGCACCGGCUAACUCUGUGCCAGCAGCCGCGGUAAUACAGAGGGUGCAAGCGUUAAUCGGAAUUACUGGGCGUAAAGCGCGCGUAGGUGGUUCGUUAAGUUGGAUGUGAAAGCCCCGGGCUCAACCUGGGAACUGCAUUCAAAACUGUCGAGCUAGAGUAUGGUAGAGGGUGGUGGAAUUUCCUGUGUAGCGGUGAAAUGCGUAGAUAUAGGAAGGAACACCAGUGGCGAAGGCGACCACCUGGACUGAUACUGACNCNGAGGUGGGCAAGCGUGGGAGC